rnacentral:lncRNA from 1 species
GUUUGUGUGUGUGCCGGAGAAUAUGUAUAUGCACAUCACGUGUGCCAGUGUCUACAGAAUCCAAAAAGGUGUCAAACCACCCCAGAAUUGGUGUUACAGAUGGCUUGAGCCGCCUGAUAAAGGUUCUGGGAACUAAAUCCACAUCUUCUACAAGUACAGCAAGUGCAGCCACUAAGCCGUCUCUCCAGCCCUCUCUAGCCUGUUGUUGCUGGACAGGCUGACCUCCAACUUGAAUCUUCCUACAUUAGCUUUUUCAAGACUGGUAUUACAAGUGUCUGUCACCACACUUAACCUGGCACUACUGACUUCUAACAGGAAUACUGAAUAAAGCAAAUUUUGUUCUAACACAAAAAGGGCCGUGUUCUGCUAGACAUGGGAGAGAGACACAUCACAGUAUGACAGGAUUGUGGUUAUCCCCAUAGUAGGGAAAGUGAGGAAAAACAUUAAUGCUUCAUCUUCAAACCACCUUUUAAAUUGUAUUUUUAAAAAAUUAAAAAAUUUCAACCACCAUAAAUGCACUAUCAAUUGCUUCCUGAAGAUCAUUGAAACCAGCAAAGUAAAACUAGAUAGCAUAUUUUAUCAAUGUCUCAAAAUCCUAGAAGCAAAUUCAUUCCUAUAUUUAAGGUACUGAAGAUACAUACGACCCAGUAGUGGCAAGAGGAUCUCUUACGUUCAAGGCCAACAUAGUCUAUAUAGUCCUGGUCUCCAGGAUAGCCAAAACUACAAAGACAGUCCCUGUCUCAAAAACACAACAAAAAAGUAUUUUAAAAUCAACCUGAGUAGUGUAAAGAAACCUGUACAGACUCUCAUCAUCAGUACCCCACUACUUUCUAGACCGAUGAGCUAAUGCCAACAUGGCCCUACUGAUUCUCACCACUCCUUCAGAUCUUUCCUCAAAGGUCAUCUUGUGAGGUUACACAACCAGCCAUUAAAAGCCUGCACGCUCCUAUUCCCUACAGCCAAUUCCUCUAUCACAGCCCAUUCGCUUUACUCUCUCAAAAGUACCAUUCCAGGCAACAGACCCUGUUCCCUGAUAUCCCCAGUGUGUGUGUCAGGUGUUCAACUGGGGGAGAGGAGGAGGAGGAGGGAGCAGGCAUUCCAGUUAGGCAGAAUACUUAAAGUUACUAAUCUAAGAGAAGGAAACCCAGUGAAACAAAACAAAAACAGUGAAUGGUGUCAAACUAACCCACGUGCAGAGGGAGAUGCAUUUUGCAGAGAUAGUCUUAUGUACUGCAGGCUAACCUCAAACUCAUUGUAUACUCAAGGAUGGCCUUGAACUCCUAACUCACCUACUUAGCUAUCAAACACUAAUUACAAUUAUAGCAUGCACUACCAUAUUUGAAUUGACCUUUUUAAAAGAAACAAUUUUGGUGGAUACUAAAAAUUAAACUGUCCCCAUGGGCCACCAGUGUAAAACAUUAAUGCAGGUUUUUUUUUUUUUUUUUUUUUGGCCAGAGCAAAACAUUAACUGUAGUUAACAGUUUACUAAUCUGAUAUUUGAAAUAAAUCAUUAAUAUCUUUCUAACCUGAGGAGAAUCUGAUGAUUUAUGAGAACUGCCUGUUCACUUCUACAAAGAACCUGCGUAUACAACCGUGAUAUUCCUGUUAUGCCAGUAAGAAUACACUGACUACCACAACAAAUAAGUCAGUGUUCUUAUUUGGAAGCUAUAAAAAUAAAUAAGCUGAAGUUCGUGGCACAAGCCUGCAAUCCUGGCGUCUAAAAGGCUAAGUAAGGCAAGAGAAACAAGUAAGACUGGGCUGUACAUAGUGAGCUUGAGACUAGUCUAAGAUACAGUAAGAUGCUGGUGGUGCAUGUCUUUAAUCCCAGCACUUGGGAAGCAGAGGAAGUCAGUCUGGUCUACAGAGUGAGUUCAAGGACAACCAAGACUACACAGAGAAACCCUGUCUCAAAAAACAAACACAAAAUCAAAACAAAACAAAAGGGACUGAAAGAUGGCUAGGCAGGCAGUAUUUACUAUAUGUUUAAGCCCCCGAGUUUAAACCUCAGGUACUUGCAUAAAGGCCAGCAAGCCAUGGCAGUCUGGCUGUAAUUGCAGCAUUCAGGAGGCAGAGGCAAGCUGGCUACCUAAACUAGCUGAAUCAGCGAGCUCUGGGUUUAAUCCAGCAACCCUGCCUCAGUAUUUUAGAUGAGAAUUAUUAAGCAAGGCACCUGAUGUCAACUUCUGGCCUCUGCACACACAUUCACACACAAGUACACCACAUACCUGAACAAGUACACCCAUACAUUGCACAUACAUAUUAUAUAGGCAGUAACAGAAAUAAAAAGAAAAUAAGGAAAGAACAGACAAGUACCAUAUAGCACUACCAACCCUCCAUGAAGACCAUCAGGAAAACCCAUCUUUUAGAGCACAAUUUUUCUCUUUUCCAUCUUUGUAGCUUUUAAGAGCAGUCUUAUUCCAGCCCAGGCUGCACGGGUGCCUCGCCUUCCUGAACUACUUCUUUUGAAGUUAAGCAACCUUGGAGUUUAUCUUUAAAGGUUUUAAUACAGAUUUAAGCAUGGACGCUAGAAGUCAGGGGUGGUAUAGGCUUCAGAGCAACCUCUCAAGAGUCUCUUAAUCUACCCACAAUCUUGAUCAAAUAAACCAAAGCAAAUGAAAUGAAUUCUAGAAAAAGCACUUCCUAAACACUUAUUCUUUUCCAUUUAACAACUCAUAUCAUAAAAAUGUAGCAGUUCAUUUCCUGAACAAGAAUUCCAAGUAGUUAUUGAAAAUGAACUUAUAUUUCAACUACCAACAGGCAAUGUCUUCUCUAUCACAAAAACUGUUAAGCACUUCAAAUUUGAAAAUUAGAAUAAAUUCCUAAUUACUCCAAAGUAAAAUUUAUCUAUAAUCAUUAAUUCUGCUUGAUAAAAAGUCAAACUGUCCACAAACAAUUUGAAACCUUCUGAAAUCCAAUAGAAAAUAACUUGGCACAUAUUUCACUUGUUCACUUCACAUGUUCACUUGGCACAUUUCUAAAACUGCUUCAAAUAAUAUGAAAGGGACCAGUAAGAAUGCAUUUUGCCUACAGCUUGUAUAUAUCAUCUAGUUAAUUUCUAAUUCUAAGUCCUUGAUGGCCUUAGUGAAUGGCACCAUUUAAUGCGAAAGCAGAGACUUCCAGAAUGAUGUAGCCUGCAUAAAUACAAACCUUAAACAACCCCCACAUAUAUAACUUAUUUUAGCACAUGGCAACACGCUCAAACUAUAAUCAACUCCAUUUAUCUUGUUUACAAAUGAAACAACCACCUAUUGGACAAAAUUUUUAAAAAUUAAUCACAAAAAGAUAUUAUAUAUAAGAAGUACAGAGUAAAUAACUCAGCAGUAUGCUGAAUGGUCUCCUAUGGGAAUCUAAUAAAUUUUAUUCAGUGAAAACCACAGGUGAAAUUCUUACGAAAUGAGCUAGCGAGUAAGGGGUACACAACACGUAGAUGACAAACCAAAGUUUCAGGAGAAAAUUCAUGUAUACAACUGCUCCUAAAAGUCCCCUUUGCUGCCAAUUAACUAUUAUUUUAAAAAUAGCUAAAAAAUUAAUCUUUCCUUUACCUGAAUUCAGUAAGUUCUCUAAACAAUCCUCUAAGCUAAUGUUUUCAUAGAGGCCAUGACCACAGAACCCCUGGGUCAGACUUAAACGUGUGAAUACAUAAUUGAAACCAUACAGUUAUCAGUUUUGUGAAACCUAAGACAAGUACUGUAUGAUUUUUCACUUCCUAUCACAGUAUAAGAAUACAAUGUUCUAAGAAUAAAAAUUGGCGUGUGUUAUGAAGAUUAAGAACAUCUGCAUACCAUUAUCACCAUUUAAAAGAAACUAUAAGGUCCACUGCCCAGGAAAAAAAAAUCCUGGAGUAAAAUGUUAAUAACCUAGAACUACCCUUGCCGUCCCCAUUAGCUUUUCUUAGGCAGGUCUCUCUCUGCAUUUCUCUAGUUUCUUAGCAACCACACUGGCUCAAGCACAUACAGAACAAGAAAGAAAGAAAGAAAAAAAAACAAACAAAAACCCCACCUUCACCUUUAUUCCCUCUUUAAUAUUUAGAACCAAGAAUACUGAACUUUGCUCUCUUACUCUAGGAAUCACUCAAGACAGGGGUCCAGGUUAGAUGCCACCCUAGAGGUCAGUGACCAAAUUUGGUCAACAGUGGUGCCAUCACUGCCGUCAUCAUUCUUGUCACUGUCAGGAACAACUGUCACCUUGCCACCACCAGGAAGGCAAAGCAACUGGAAUAUUCCUUUUGUACGAUCUAUUUACAGAGUGCCCAACAUCAUCGUAGUGUGAUCUUACAACAUGAUAACAAAUGGAAGAACCCCAACAGAAAAGGACUUAGAGUGAGGAACUUUCUGAUACUAAAAACUGGUGAGACACAAGAAUUCCAGAGACCCUGCGCAGUCAGGGGUCACCUCUCACUGCACUGUAACCUAAGCAAAACAGCUUCUAUCAUUUUCCCCCCUCUAAUUCUUGAGUUAUUUUGUUUGUUUGUUUUUAAACACGGAAACUCAAUGGUAAUUAUUUAUUUUCUGGUGUCCCAACGAAAUUCUUUCAACUUUUAUGGGGAGACAAAAUAAUUUUUUAAAUACUUACGAAAGAUAUACAUGCUGCCAGCAGUAAAAUUCUAACUAGUAAGUCUUCAAACUGCUCAAUCACAAGUUCCAGCAAGGUUUUUCCUGUUAGAAAAGGAAAGGAAAAAAAAAAAAAAAAA